rnacentral:rRNA from 1 species
UGAGGAAUAUUGGACAAUGGAGGCAACUCUGAUCCAGCCAUCCCGCGUGCAGGAAGAAGGCCCUAUGGGUUGUAAACUGCUUUUAUACAGGAAUAAACCCCUCUACGUGUAGAGGGCUGAAGGUACUGUAAGAAUAAGCACCGGCUAACUCCGUGCCAGCAGCCGCGGUAAUACGGAGGGUGCAAGCGUUAUCCGGAUUUAUUGGGUUUAAAGGGUCCGCAGGCGGACUUGUAAGUCAGUGGUGAAAGCC